rnacentral:tRNA from 1 species
GCUUCCAUAGCAGAGUGGUAUUGCGUUCGCUUCGUAAGCCAAAGGUCGCGAGUUCAAUUCUCGCUGAGAGCU